ACAUGAAUUUCCUAAACAAAAACAUAGUGAGGAUCUUUCUGAUGUGAUUAAAAAAUAAUUCCCCAGCAGUACAAAAUACACUGUAAGUCUUGUGAGCAUGUUGAUGUGUUUGUUUUUUUGGAUUUGUUUGCUUCCCAAGGUCUACAUUGAUUAUGCAGUCCAUGUGGGCAGCCACUGUUGGCUCUAAUUCACAUGCCAGGCACUGCCUGUACCCUGGCAGAAGUACAUGAGUGACUGGUCUGACUAUGUGGCUCGGUGCUCUGCUGAAUGCGUUCUGAGAUUUGUUGAAGUUAGUGAAAACACUGAAGGCCUAAUAAUUGUAAAGUUGUAUAAUAUAUAAUAUAUAUAUAUUAGCUGCUGGUAAUCUUGAUUUGUGUUUGUUGCUCAUGCUAUUUCACACUCACCAGAGCAGUGUUGAAGGUUUGUUUUGUAUCUGGCCAAGCUUUUUCUGUGUGUUAUUGACUGUAGUUGAUGGUAGAGUCUGGUUUCUAGUGAUGGGAUCCCAAAACAGUUUUUCUUCCCAUCCUCUUCAAUCUCCUUGAAGAUUAUUUGACUGGAUUCCUUAUCUUUUUCCACCUCAUCUACAAAUGGUGAGCUUGAUGAACUCUUUGCCUCUUUACUGUCACCUCUCUGUAGCUCUUUUCUUAGAAGGCAGCUUGCCUCUAGCCAGUCAGAAAAGCACAGUGCAGAUCACAUUCAAGCUGUGUUCUCUCUUGAUUGUAGCUUAAGAUUGUAGCUGUCAGAUCAAAUGACCACUGCAGUUGGCCAUUGCAGGAGACAGUUUUGAGGAGAGGCUUAAAAGCAUGCUGGUUUUUUGACUCUUACCAGAACUCACUCUGUGUCUUAGGAGAGAGUGAGGUAAGGGCUGGGAAAAAAACAUGGAAAGAGAAGGUGGCUGUAGAUUGCUCUGCAUAGAUCCAGAACAACAUCCUACUUUUAUCUGAGGUAAUAGCCCAAGACUCUGUGAGGCCAAGAUUCCAGUAAAUUCCCUCCUGGGUGUAAAAAGUACUCAUGUGGAGGGUUCUGUGUGACUCAGACAGUUACACAGAGGUGGCUUCCAGCCCUCCUUUUGAAUCUCCCACUGUUUUGAUCUUGUGCAUUAUUUACCUAUUUUGGAUUGUUGUUCCAUGACUGUCUUCCCCAAGUGAAGUGAUUAUCAGUUAUUGCGUCAUGUAUUACGUGGAUGCAUGAAGGCUCUGUGAAGCUAACAAUUUUGCAGAGAACUUUUUCUCUGUUCAGCUUUUAAAUACAAGAAA